rnacentral:misc_RNA from 1 species
CAUAAGGCCGGCGCUGACCC